AGUGAACGCUGGCGGCGUGCCUAAUACAUGCAAGUCGAACGGAGUGGCGCACGGGUGAGUAAUGUAUAGCUAAUUUGCCCUACACUAGAGGACAACAGUUGGAAACGACUGCUUAUACUCUAUAGUGUAGGAUGAGGCUAUAUUGUAUCAGCUAGUUGGUGAGGUAAUGGCUCACCAAGGGUAUGACGCAUAACUGGUCUGAGAGGAUGAUCAGUCACACUGGAACUGAGACACGGGCCGGGCUCCUACGGGAGGCGGCGAUAGGGAAUAUUACUCAAGGGGGGGAACCCUGAAGGAGCAACGCCGCGUGGAGGAUGACAAGUUGCGGAGCGUGAACUCCUGUUAUUAGGAAAGCGGUACCUAACGAAUAAGCACCGGCUAACUCCGUGCCAGCAGCCGCGGUAAUUC
rnacentral:rRNA from 1 species